rnacentral:lncRNA from 1 species
GUGCUCAAACCAAGGUAAGGAAAGCCGCCACAGCAGAGACUCUCAGAGAGAGUAAAGAAAAAAGUGAGAGAAGGAGGAAAGAGAGGAAACUUGAGGAAGUCUUCGGCUGUGGUUGAUUCGGCAAGAAAAUAUAACUUGUCUUUUUUAUUUUUAUUUUUCUUGCCGAUUCCACCCAUGCCUACUAUUUCCUUUACUUUCUCUUUCUCCUCACCGUGUCUCUCUACGCCUUUUUCGCCAGAUCUGACUGUUUUGAAGGAGGAAAAGGAGAGACCGUUUCUGGAAAUUUUUGGAAUGGAGGAGUUGGAAAGAUUUUGAAUUUUCUCUGUAUUUUAAUAAUGAAAAAUCUUUCCAAUUCCUCCCAUUCCAAUGAUUUCCAGCACUUCCUCUCCAUUUUCUUACCUUUCUUCAAUCCUUUUUGUUUCAUCAUUUCCUGCAGUUUGUAAGUGAAAUCGGUAAACCUUACCUAAUUUUCAUACUCUUCUGUUUUGUUUUUAUAUAGAUCUGUUCUUUACUGUCUUCCAUGGAUCUUCUGAGAUUUGCUUCUUGCUGUAUACUUCCAGAUCCUUGGUUUUAUUUUUUAGUUAAAAAUUAGGUAAAAGGGAACUUAAUCUUGAAAUUGUAAGUGGAAAAUUCUGGAUCUGUCGUUGAGUUGGUGAAGAUCAAAUUAAGUCGUGAUAUAUUGAUUUAAUUGAAAGGUAGGUCGAUUUUAUUUCUUUUUUACCCUGUUUUUGAAAAAGUUAAAAAUGAUGGAGCGGUGAAAAUGAGAUGGAAUAAGGUAGAGAUCUAUGUUGUUUCAGUUGGGAUAGCUUUUUAUAAUCCAAUUAUCAAUAAAUCUAUUGAUAAAUCAGAGGUGAGACUUUGAGCCUAGAUCUCGAAGUUCAGUUCCUUCUGUCUCCUUGCUUCACCACCGUAAAUUGUAAAUUAAAAAAUAAAAGUACUUUAUAGUUGUAGAUUUAUUAUAUUAAUUUUGUUCGUCAAAAUAAUUUUAGUGAGAUAGUUGUCAUAUGCAGGCAGAUUUUUGAAGGAAAAAAAAAAGUAUGAUUCCAGUUAAAAUAAAUUGAAUGUUGAGAAAUAUGAAUUUGGUAAAAAUAUUAAAUCAAAUAAGGAGUUUCCUUUUUCCCGUAUCCAAACACAUUUCUUUGGAUCAGAAGAAACAGUUGGGCAUUUAUUAAUGGAGCUGUAAAAGUGAAUUCGAAUAAAUCCUGAUAAUAUCAAAGCUGCUGAAGAUGGAAACAUGUGUGUACUAUAUUACUUUAGUUCAUUGUACUAAACACGAUUUGGUAUGUAUUCAAAUGUGUUCUCUCUCUUUUUUUUUUUUAUCUUUCUUGAUGCAACUGUAUAUUAUAUGUUUUGAAUGAUUACUAUUAUCAUUAAUAUAGCACGAUUGCAACCUGGAGGACUUUCUUAUUACCAUUUCGAUGUUAAAUAAAAAUGCAAAAAAAUUUGUUCAAGUGUUAAAAUAGAGAUAUUGAAG